UACGGGGGGGGCAAGCGUUGUUCGGAAUUACUGGGCGUAAAGGGCUCGUAGGCGGCCAACUAAGUCAGACGUGAAAUCCCUCGGCUUAACCGGGGAACUGCGUCUGAUACUGGAUGGCUUGAGUUCGGGAGAGGGAUGCGGAAUUCCAGGUGUAGCGGUGAAAUGCGUAGAUAUCUGGAGGAACACCGGUGGCGAAGGCGGCAUCCUGGACCGGUUCUGACGCUGAGGCGCGAAAGCGUGGGAGCAAACAGG
rnacentral:rRNA from 1 species